rnacentral:SRP_RNA from 1 species
GCCGAGCUCAGUAAUGUGGGCUUGUAACCCAAAUGGGGGCAUUAAUGUGGUGGAUGUUGGGCUGUCUCAGAUGGUUGGACUUGGUGGGCUAGCAGCCCUAUCCAAGCACUGAGUUGGAUCAGGGGAUCCUGAUCGAAGGAAUGGGCUUCUUGAUUCCUAAAGUGGGGUGGACUGCGCGAGGCUGGUUUCACAGAGCAACGAACAGCUCCCACUCUGUGCAGUGGAAGGACAACAGGCUAGAGUCUGUCAAGUUCAGUAACACGCCUGAUGGGCUGCUCCAAUUAAACCACCACUUUU